rnacentral:lncRNA from 1 species
ACCGCCUCACAGCCGCAGCAAGACCCCGCUUGGGGCAGCAUCGUGAAGACUAAGGUAUAUUAAUCUUGAUGUACAUACUUGGUUUUCUUUGUACCCUACUGGCACUCGCAUCUUCAUCUAGCUCACAUGAACCUCCCUUGUUCAUCUAGUAACCUGAAGCUGAUGGCUCAAGUAGCCCACAUGAACCUCCCUUGUUCUCUUAUUUCCUUGCAAGAUCAUCUAGAAUAUGCAAGAAUCCCCCUUGUAGCUAUUUUCAUGCAUACUGGUCUUGAACACCCAGAAUAUGUGUAGUGUGUGCAUCCAUUGGUAUCCGCCAGAUUUCAUAACUUUUUAUCUGAAAUUUGAUUUCCCUAGAAUGCACCAUGAUAAAUGCUUAUGAGAUGAGAAUCCAUUCAUGUACAUCAUCUUAUGUUGUCCUUUUUUAUGUACUUAUCUUGUCCUUUCUUUGUCCUGUUUUCCCCUGAUUAUGACUGUAAUGGAAGCUCUUAUUUAUACAGUGCAUAUUGGAACUGAAUUGAUCUAUCUCCGCAUUUCAUUUAAUUUUGCUCUGCCCUCCUUUUGCAAGUAUUAUUUUGUACCAAAGAAAGAAAUCUUUUUUUUUGCGGGGAAAGAAAGAAAGAAAUCUUUGUUCAUAAACUUGUGAUUUUGGUACUGUUCUCUGAAAGUAGACCAUAGUUUUUUGUGGUCAUACGAAUUUAGUGUAUUCUUACACGAUUUAUAACGCUGUAUCAUUGAUAUAUAUGCCUGGUUGUUCAUUUCUAAUAUUAUUAUUCUCUGCUGCUAUUUGCAGCUUUCCAUUGGAAGAUCAUUUGUUUAGUGGAUAUGGAUGCGAUGUUGCUGCCCAUUUGAUCCGUGAAAUUUUGAAAUCAAUGCACGAUUAUUUUAUGAUCUUUCUUUGCUAGCUGGUCAUCAAUGCUUUGAUAUCAGUCCUUUGAUGUGGACUGACCGCCCUUUUUUGCCAAUGCAGUGCAUCAAUCACUACGGAAGCGACAUCGGCGAGAUUAGAGUCGUCUGUUCUAUACAGCAAUAAUUUGAUCAUGGUCGGAAAUAUAAUAAUAUUGUACAUCGGUGAUUGUUGAUUAGGGUCAUUUUUUGACUUCUAAAUAUUCAGAAUUCAUGUUAUAGUUUGAUAUUUUUUCUUCUAAAAUAUCAACUUGCAGCAAGCUUCUCAUAUAAUGUUUUGUUCUGACGCAACAAAAAUACUGUUAUGCGGAUUUGGUGCUUGGAUGUAUGAAAUUUAUAGCAAGUUUGUUGUGUG